rnacentral:rRNA from 1 species
UUAAAAUUUAUUUAUUAAUUUUAUUUGUUUUAUAUUUAAGUAUUAAAAAUAAUUAUAUAAUUUAGUGUUUUAGUAUUAUUUAAAGAAAAAAUAAAUUUAAUAAUAGUUUAAUAGUAUUGUAAAAGAAAAUUGAAAUAUUGUGAAAAAUUAUUAUUUUAAAAGAAAAUUUAAUUUAUUGUACCUUGUGUAUCAGCGUUUAUUAAAUAAAUAAUAUAAAAAAUAUUUUUCUCGAUUUUAAAAGAGUUAAUAUAAUAUAAAAGUUAAUGUAAUAAAAUUAUUUUAAAUAUUAUAUUAGAAAUGAAAUGUUAUUCGUUUUUAAAGGUAUCUAGUUUUUUAAGAAAUAAAUUUAAUUUAGAAAUUAUAAAUUUAUUUAAAAUAUUUUUUAAUUAAAUAAUUUAUAAUUUUAAUAUUUUAUGGGAUAAGCUAUAAAAUAAAUUUUUAAAAAUAAUAAAUAAAUUUAAUAAAUAUAUGCUUAGAAUUAGCAAUUGUUUAUAAUUAUGUUAUAAUUUAUUUUAUAAAAAAAAUUAUUUAUUAAAUUUUAAAUAUUUAUUAAAAUAUUAAUUUUAAUUUUUAAAAUUAAGUAAAAAUGAUAAAAUUAGUAUAUGUAAAUUAUUGUAAAAUAAAUUUAAAUGAAAAGUUUAAAUAAAG